GAACGGCAGCCAAACUUCGGUCUGGUGGCGAGUGGCGAACGGGUGAGUAAUGUAUCGGAACGUGCCUAGUAGCGGGGGAUAACUACGCCAAAGCGUAGCUAAUACCGCAUACGCCCUACGGGGGAAAGCAGGGGAUCGCAAGACCUUGCACUAUUAGAGCGGCCGAUAUCGGAUUAGCUAGUUGGUGGGGUAACGGCUCACCAAGGCGACGAUCCGUAGCUGGUUUGAGAGGACGACCAGCCACACUGGGACUGAGACACGGCCCAGACUCCUACGGGAGGCAGCAGUGGGGAAUUUUGGACAAUGGGGGAAACCCUGAUCCAGCCAUCCCGCGUGUGCGAUGAAGGCCUUCGGGUUGUAAAGCACUUUUGGCAGGAAAGAAACGUCAUGGGCUAAUACCCCGUGAAACUGACGGUACCUGCAGAAUAAGCACCGGCUAACUACGUGCCA
rnacentral:rRNA from 1 species